rnacentral:rRNA from 1 species
UGGGGAAUAUUGCNCAAUGGGGGGAACCCUGACGCAGCCAUGCCGCGUGAAUGAAGAAGGCCUUAGGGUUGUAAAGUUCUUUCGGUAUUGAGGAAGGUUGAUGUGUUAAUAGCACAUCAAAUUGACGUUAAAUACAGAAGAAGCACCGGCUAACUCCGUGCCAGCAGCCGCGGUAAUACGGAGGGUGCGAGCNNNNGNNAUAACUGGGCGUAAAGGGCACGCAGGCGGUUAUUUAAGUGAGGUGUGAAAGCCCCGGGCUUAACCUGGGAAUUGCAUUUCAGACUGGGUAACUAGAGUACUUUAGGGAGGGGUAGAAUUCCACGUGUAGCGGUGAAAUGCGUAGAGAUGUGGAGGAAUACCGAAGGCGAAGGCAGCCCCUUGGGAAUGUACUGACGCUCAUGUGCGAAAGCGUGGGGAGCAAACAGGAUUAGAUACCCUGGUAGUCCACGCUGUAAACGCUGUCGANNGGGGGUUGGGGGUUUAACUCUGGCGCCCGUAGCUAACGUGAUAAAUCGACCGCCUGGGGAGUACGGCCGCAAGGUU